AGUUUUGCGCAGUGGCAGUAUCGUAGCCAAUGAGGUUUAUCCGAGGCGCGAUUAUUGCUAAUCUAAAGUCAAGACCACACGGACCACGCAACACGAGCAGUGGAUGAGGGGCAAAGGGUCUUUGCUAUAUUAUUUUCAACAGAACACAGCAGUUACUCACACACGUGACAAUUUUGAUUUAUAUCUUUAU
ensembl:snRNA LOC120097289 U4 spliceosomal RNA